UCUCACUUGGUUUAAAGAGUGAGAGGAUGACGAAGUUCAUUCCUACCGCUGUGCCGUCUGUGCAUGCAAACCUCUCUGACUGCCCUGUCCCGAGGUCCAGAGACACCGUCUGCCGCAAGCGAGAUAUUGUCACGAUGUUGACAGACGCCUCACAGCAGGAGACCAUGGACAGUGUGAUACUGGGGAUCAGCCCUUGCCCACCUCCACUUCUGAUGCUGGGACACAGGUGUACCAGGCUGGCUUUAGUCUGUUGGUUUGUGAUGUCAUCAUAUUUGAGUGUUAUACUGUAUUGGUCAUGUGUGUUUCAUUCAAGUUUCUUUUUUUACAUAUCUAGGUCUGUGUAUCUUUCUUUCUGUCCCUUUCAUCUCAUUUGGUGGUGGUUCCCUGCAUGUUGCAUGUUUUGUUUUGUCUUUGUGUGCUGUUGCUUUGUUUUAUACUUUGAACAAAAUCAUUACUUUUUCUCGUCUUUGUAAGUGGUAAUAAUUGUCGCUGUACCCCAUUCAAGGGGUGCUGCAUGUCUGCUCCUCUGUCUGUGUGCUUGGAUUUUCUUUUUUGUUGUUAUUUGCAUGAAAUUUCUUGUAUGUAAUUCAAAAUAAUUUACCAAUCAUUUUACCUGUGCCUUGUCAACCUCUGUGUGCGGUGUUAUCUGGGCUCACUGUGUUUCUGCUUGAUGUGCUUUUGCAUGUAUCACUGCAUGUAUGCAUGCAUGAAAUAUCAUGGGUUUGUGUGUGAGAAAGAGAACCAUCAGCUGACCCUCAGGUAAGACCACAAUAUUGCACACGUUUCGCGUCUAGCCCUUCAUCAGUGUUCCUUGUAUGUUUUGUGCCUAACCAUUUUUUUUUAUAGAGAUUUGUUUACUUCCAACCUGUGUCUUUGUCCUUGUUCAGUAAAUGUUUAAAUGUUCAGUAACCAUUACAAGCAAUGCCAAUAAACUGUUUUUUUU